rnacentral:rRNA from 1 species
CGGUCUGUCAAGUCGGAUGUGAAAUCCCCGGGCUCAACCUGGGAACUGCAUUCGAAACUGGCAGGCUAGAGUCUUGUAGAGGGGGGUAGAAUUCCAGGUGUAGCGGUGAAAUGCGUAGAGAUCUGGAGGAAUACCGGUGGCGAAGGCGGCCCCCUGGACAAAGACUGACGCUCAGGUGCGAAAGCGUGGGGAGCAAACAGGAUUAGAUACCCUGGUAGUCCACGCCGUAAACGAUGUCGAUUUGGAGGUUGUUCCCUUGAGGAGUGGCUUCCGGAGCUAACGCGUUAAAUCGACCGCCUGGGGAGUACGGCCGCAAGGUUAAAACCCAAAUGAAUUGACGGGGGCCCGCACAAGCGGUGGAGCAUGUGGUUUAAUUCGAUGCAACGCGAAGAACCUUACCUACUCUUGACAUCCAGAGAACUUAGCAGAGAUGCUUUGGUGCCUUCGGGAACUCUGAGACAGGUGCUGCAUGGCUGUCGUCAGCUCGUGUUGUGAAAUGUUGGGUUAAGUCCCGCAACGAGCGCAACCCUUAUCCUUUGUUGCCAGCGGUUCGGCCGGGAACUCGAAGGAGACUGCCAGUGAUAAACUGGAGGAAGGUGGGGAUGACGUCAAGUCAUCAUGGCCCUUACGAGUAGGGCUACACACGUGCUACAGUGGCAUAUACAAAGAGAAGCGACCUCGCGAGAGCAAGCGGACCACAUAAAGUAUGUCGUAGUCCGGAUUGGAGUCUGCAACUCGACUCCAUGAAGUCGGAAUCGCUAGUAAUCGUAGAUCAGAAUGCUACGGUGAAUACGUUCCCGGGCCUUGUACACACCGCCCGUCACACCAUGGGAGUGGGUUGCAAAAGAAGUAGGUAGCUUAACCUUCGGGAGGGCGCUUACCACUUUGUGAUUCAUGACUGGGGUGAAGUCGUAACAAGGUA